GUGUGCAGUAAAAGCAAAUUCCUGACACUCAUCUCCCCAGGAACCUGCUGAAUCAUAAUUUCAGAAUACAAAACUCAAAGAAAAAGACAACUCACAAAAUAGUCAAAGCAUUUUGCAGAUACAAACGAAUUAACCAUCUGGAACCACCUAAACAAGACUCAUUUCAAUACUGACAAUCUGCUAUAAACAUGAAUAAACAAUCCAGUUGUGACUCAGAUUGAGGGAAGAUAAGGGUUUUAGAUGAAUUAUUGAGAUGGUUAUAGAAAAAAAAUUAUUAGCAGAUGCAAUAACCACAGAAACAAACAAGGAACCUUAUACUCCAAGGAUACUACCCAUGAAUCCUACCCUAUUCUCACUAGUGGUUAUCAAUUUAAUAUGAUGCAUUUCACAGACACAGGCAUAUUGCAGAUCUCAGAGUUAUGCCAUUAAUCAAAUCAUGCAUAUGCUUCAACAGCCAAAUGGUAUCUCAUCUAAUCUAGAAAUAAGAUGUGCUGAAUCUUUUUUUUAUUACAUGCUGUUUGGAUACAUAUAAUGCAGGCAAUAGAUUAAUGGAUAUUAUAAACUUAAAUAUUCUGCAGAAUAAUUUAUGUAUUUACUUGGAGUUGUAUUAUUUUAAAUUCAAAUGUUUUACAAAUUUAUUCUUUACCCAUGAGAUUUGGGGGCUUCUAAUCAUAGAAAAUUGCAAAUAAAAUAAAUUAGGGAAUUCCAAGAGAUAGAAAGUAAAAGUAUAUGGCCGGGCACGGUGGCUCACGCAUGUAAUACCAACACUUUGGGAGGCCGAGGUGGGCGGAUCACUUGAGGUCAGGAGUUCAAGACAAGCCUGGUCAACAUGGCGAAAGCCAGUAUCUACUGAAGAUACAAAAAUUAACUGGGCAUGGUGCUGAGUGCCUGUAAUCCCAGCUACUCUGGAAGCUGAGGAAGCAGAAUCACUUGAACCCGGUAGGUGGAAGUUGCAGUGAGCUGAGAUAGCACCACUGCACUCCAGCCUGGGAGACAGAAAGAGAUUUUGUCUCAAAAAAAAAAAAGAAGGAAAGAAAAGGAAAAAAAAAGUAGUAGAAGUAUAGCACAGAAGAAAAACAAAAGCACAAACUAAAAUCACUUCUUUUCAGCUUUUCUGACAAUGAAAACAAAAAUUUAAAAUAACUAUAACAUAAUAAUUUUUUUUUCCUUCAGAUUCUGACAACCAAUUCCUGCUGGUUUCCUUUGUGAGCUAAAAGAUAUUUAAAACACGUUAGUGGAUUUUUCCAAUGCCAUGACUAAAUUUCAGUGAUCAGUUUAAGGGUUUUUGCUGUUGUUGUUUGUUUUUCUAUCUGGGAUAAUAAAGCUUUUAGUCAUUUGGAAAUAACUGGCAAUCUGAAAGUUUUUUUAAUUUCCUGUUUUAUUUAAUUUCCCAAAGUUUAUUCAAAAAUCAUUUAUGUUGCUCACUAUGGAAUGCUAAAAAAUUCAGAACAAAGAUAAGUGGAAAGUUUCACAAGUUUAGUUUUAAAUUUAGUUUGUAAUAAAUUGAAGUUUUUGAAGAAUCAUUCUUGUUCUUCAGAUUUAGUGGUCAAUUUCACAUAUGAGAGUUCUUAAAAUAAUUGUACCCUUUAAAUAAUUCUAACCUUUAAAUUUCAGAUUGUAAUUUAAUUUAAUGUUUUUUUUUUUUUUUGAGAUAGGGUCGCUCUCUGGCUUCCAGGCCAGAGUGUAGUUGUACAAUCAUGGUUCACAGUACACUUGACCUCGCAGGCUCAAUAUAUCCUCUUCUCUCAGCCUCCCUAGUAGCAGGGAACACAGGCACAUGCCACCGAGCCUGGCUAAUUUUUUUUUAUUUUUGUAGAGACAAGGUCUCAAUAUGUUGCCCAGGCUGGUCUUGAACUCCUGGGUUUAUGUGAUCUUCCCACUUUGGCCUCCCAAAUUUCUGGGAUUACAGACGUAAGCCACCAUGACUGGCCCCUUUUCAAUUAUGUAUAUAUAUGCAUCUUAUACAUUGAUUUCAUGUCACAUAUAUCAGAAAAAAAAUGUCAGCUAUAUCAGGGUUUUUGUCAUACUUAAAAAAUAGUAUCAAAUUUGGGUAAAAUAGAUCUGGAUCAGCUAUAACUCAUAAUGGUCUCUGAGUGAUGAACUGGUAGUACCAUUACUAAUUAAGAAGAGUUUUCUUCAGAUCUGCCAUAUGAAACUCCUUAGACAAGGAGAAUGAUAAGAUGCAUGUAGAUAAUUGCUUUAUUUAGAUCAUGCUUGUAAUCUAAGCACUUUGGGAGGCCAAGGCAGGCAGAUCAUCUGAGGUCAGGAGUUCAAGACCAGCCUGACUAACGUGGAGAAACCCCGUCUCUACUAAAAAUACAAAAAUACAAAAUUAGGCGGGCAUGGUGGCGUAUGCCUGUAAUCCCAGCUACUCAGGAGGCUGAGGCAGGAGAAUCACUUGAACCUGGGAGGCAGAGGUUGUGGUGAGCCGAGAUCAUGCCAUUGCACUCCAACUUGG
rnacentral:lncRNA from 1 species